rnacentral:tRNA from 1 species
AGCCCGGUAGUGUAGCGGUCAAGCAUAUGGGCCUUUGAAGCCCGUGACGCCAGUUCGAGUCUGGCCCGGGCUAC